GGGGCGUUACCAGGGGGUGUGUCCGCGCUCGAGCUCGACCCAGUUUGAAAGAGACGCAGAUCUGCAGUCGCUGCUUCAGCUCAACAACAAUAACACCUGAGAACCAUAGAACCCGAGGGAACCCGAGAGCAUCCGAGAGCAUCAGCCCGCUGCUCCUCCGAGCCGCCAGUAUGAUGCGCAAAGAUGUGAACAAGCCGAAGGGCAAGACGUCGGCUUACGCCUUCUUCGUCCAGACGUGUCGAGAGGAACAUCGCAAGAAACACCCGGAGCAGUCCGUCAACUUCGCUGAGUUCUCCAAGAAGUGCUCCGAGAGGUGGAAGGGUCUGACGGCCAAUGAUAAGAAGUGUUUCGAGGACAUGGCGAAGACCGACAAGGUGCGCUACAACCGUGAGAUGGUGGACUACACCCCCCCCAAAGGGUUUGGGAAGAGGGGCCGCAAGAGGAAAGACCCCAACGCCCCCAAGAGACCCCCCUCUGCGUUCUUUGUGUUCUGCGGUGAGUACCGGCCCUCUGUGAAGCAGCAGUUUCCAGGUCUGUCUAUAGGCGACUGUGCCAAGAAGCUUGGAGAGCUGUGGGGCAAACAGACCCAAUCUGACAAGCUGCCCUACGAGGAGAAGGCCCAGAAGCUGAGAGAGAAAUACGACCGGGACAUGGUGGCGUAUCGUGGGGGCGGGACUACCUUCUCCAGGACUCCUGGAUCCUCAGCUCAGGCCGGGGGGGGGGGGGGAGGGGGGGGAGGGGGAGGAGGGGCGGAGGAAGAUGAUGAGGGGGAUGAUGAUGAUGAUGAAGAGGACGAGUAGACAGAGAGAGAGAGACAGGUAGGUGUGUGUGUUUCAGAGCAGACAGACAGGUGAACACAUAUCCAGCCUCUUCAGAGGCAGACAGACAGGAAGCAGAUUUUAAUCACUCCGACAUAUUGAAACGACUACAGUCAUUAUUAUAAUUAUUAUAACAGUGAUAGCAGCACUUACAGACAGACAGGUUACUGACAGACAGACAGACAGGUGAGAGACAGACGGGUUACAGGGAGACAGACGGCUAACAGGGAGACAGAGAGACAGACAGGUUACAGAUGGACAGACAGGUUACAGACGGACAGACAGACAGACAGGUGAGAGACAGACGGGUUACAGACAGACAGACAGGUUACUGACAGACAGACAGACAGGUGAGAGACAGACGGGUUACAGACAGACAGGUUACAGACAGACAGACAGAAACUCUGAAACACUCACACUGGGCCUCAGAAUGUAUGCUGUGUGAGAAUGUGUGUGUGUGUGAGAGAGGUCAUCAGAUGUUAAAUUGCCCCCCUCACAGUCACCAUGGUUACCCUGCACCCCUGUGUGUUGCCAUGGUUACCCCCCCCCUUAUUCAUGUUGUUUUUUAUUUCCUGUUCACUGUCAGUAGAAACUCAACUUUUAUAAUAAAAUGGCCGAGGGAAAACACA